GACGAACGCUGGCGGCGUGCCUAAUACAUGCAAGUAGAACGCACAGUUUAUACCGUAGCUUGCUACACCAUAAACUGUGAGUUGCGAACGGGUGAGUAACGCGUAGGUAACCUGCCUGGUAGCGGGGGAUAACUAUUGGAAACGAUAGCUAAUACCGCAUAAUAUUGAUUAUUGCAUGAUAAUUGAUUGAAAGAUGCUAUUGCAUCACUACCAGAUGGACCUGCGUUGUAUUAGCUAGUAGGUGAGGUAACGGCUCACCUAGGCGACGAUACAUAGCCGACCUGAGAGGGUGAUCGGCCACACUGGGACUGAGACACGGCCCAGACUCCUACGGGAAGCAGCAGUAGGGAAUCUUCGGCAAUGGACGAAAGUCUGACCGAGCAACGCCGCGUGAGUGAAGAAGGUUUUCGGAUCGUAAAGCUCUGUUGUAAGAGAAGAACGGGUGUGAGAGUGGAAAGUUCACACUGUGACGGUAUCUUACCAGAAAGGGACGGCUAACUACGUG
rnacentral:rRNA from 1 species